GUCGAGAAUAAUUCACAAUGGACGAAAGUCUGAUGGUGCAACGCCGCGUGGAGGAUGAAGGUCUUCGGAUUGUAAACUCCUGUCAUCGGGGAGUAAGACCUGGCGGUAAAUAGCCGACAGGGUUGAUAGUACCCGAAGAGGAAGGGACGGCUAACUUCGUGCCAGCAGCCGCGGUAAUACGAAGGUCCCAAGCGUUGUUCGGAAUCACUGGGCGUACAGGGAGCGUAGGAGGCGUGGUAAGUCAGAUGUGAAAUCCCGGGGCUCAACCUCUGAACUGCAGCCGAUACUGCCAUGCUUGAGGGCUGGAGAGGUAACUGGAAUUCUCGGUGUAGCAGUGAAAUGCGUGGAUAUCGAGAGGAACACUCGUGGCGAAGGCGAGUUACUGGACAGCAUCUGACGCUGAGGCACGAAGGCCAGGGGAGCGAAAGGGAUUAGAUACCCCAGUAGUCC
rnacentral:rRNA from 1 species